AUUGAACGCUAGCGGGAUGCUUUACACAUGCAAGUCGAACGGAGUGGCGGACGGGUGAGUAAUAUAUCGGAACGUGCCUAGUAGAGGGGGAUAACUACUCGAAAGGGUGGCUAAUACCGCAUACCAUCGGAGCGGCCGAUAUCGGAUUAGCUAGUGGGUGGGGUAAAGGCUCACCAAGGCGACGAUCCCUAGCUGGUCUGAGAGGACGACCAGGCACACUGGGACUGAGAGACGGGCCAGAAGCCUACGGGAGGCAGCAGUGGGGAAGUUUGGACAAUGGGGGAAACCCGGAUGAAGCCAUCCCGCGUGUAUGAAGAAGGCCUUCGGGUUGUAAAGUACUUUUAGCAGGGAAGCGGUAUCUGGAGAAUAAGCACCGGCUAACUACGUGCCAGCAGCCGCGGUAAUUC
rnacentral:rRNA from 1 species